ensembl:lncRNA
ACGUGUUUCACACUUUAUUCAUAGAAAAGCACUGAGAUUCCAACACAAAUCAAUAUAAAAUGGUAGUAGCGUUACAUAAAUAGUAAUAAAUUCUCGCUUUAUAGACAGUAGCUCAAGAAGUCGCACAAAAAAAUUACAAAAAAAAGUGUUGAUGAUAAGCUAUGAUACUUCUGUGGCAACAAAUACUGGAAAUACCUUUAUCAUAAUCAGUAGCACAAAGAGGCAACAAACACUUUCAUUUUUCCCUUAAGUUAGAAAGAAUCCAAAAACAAAAAAACAAACAAACAAACUGGGAAACAGUAGGUGAACUAGAUCUCUACCAGCAAAUAGUACGUUCCUACAAACCAAAGAAAGACAGGGAAAACUAAGAAAAACCUCAGGAACUGGCUGACAUGGUUAACACAGAGGGAGGAACUUGUUUGUUGUAACGCUGUCAGUGAAUGCAUCACGUAAAGGCAGCUGACUGGAGCUUCUGAGUUAAGCAAGUGGUAAGAUAAUACUCCUCUUUUCUAACGUAGUAGCCAAGGAAUCCUUUUUUUAUCCUCUGUGUGGAUAGAAAGGCUGCUGCAAUGCACUGAGGAAGCACUGAAAACCUCGAUGCAUCUCUUCAAAUCCAAAAUCCUCCCUGCGUGAGAGGAACUGAGGCGAUUCACGACGUCAAAAAAAAAAAACUAUGGCAAUGAGAUCACAGAGGUGAAGGUUGAAGGGAGCCGAGACAGCGAUCGAAAAUAAAAACUAGAACAAGGAAUGAACACAAGGUCGUCCACAGGCCGUCUCUUUUGUUCAUACAGUUGCUGUUUCUGACAUUGGUGUAUUGUUCUGUCUCACCGUGGUGUCACCACACAACACGACACCUCUGAGAAGACACUAAAGGCUUGAGUCCUGAUUAAAUUAAAAAAAAAACAAUAAAGAAAUAAAGCAAAAAAAUAAACUUUGUACAUUGAUCGGUCACAAAGGCAUUUUCCACCAUUUUUAAUUUUUCGUCUCCUCUAAAUGUUGCAGCACAAUUGUCCAAAUACAAGCAUGCCGGGUCUCGUCUUUGUCCGCCUGCCUCCCCCUCUUUCCAUUUAAUAGUGGUUCAGUCCACUCUAAGUUUUUCCGGGGAGCUCUUUAAGAGGUGACAAGACCAUCGAAGUGGUUCUGCAUAGGUUUAGUAUGAAUCUGUUUACAAAUGAAUGCCUUCCUCAAUCUUCCUCACCUCCAAAGUUACAUGCUUCCUUUUGGAAAACAGAUUUUUUUUCUUUGCAAAACUAAAAAAAAAAAAAAUCCAAAGAAAAAGUACAAAUAAUAAUAAUAGUUGUUAUAGCAAAAACAAACAAACGGAAAGAAAUGUACACAGGAGCACCUGAGAAAUGCCUUGAAGUCUUUGCUCUUACAAAAAACGCUGUCAAAUUCCCC